GAUGAACGCUGACAGAAUGCUUAACACAUGCAAGUCUUUGGUGAAGCUGUGCUUGCACAGCCUAGCCAAGGCGGACGGGUGAGUAACGCGUAAGGAACUUGCCCUGCAGUCAGGGAUAACAGACGGAAACGACUGAUAAGACCUGGUAAAGUCAGGCGGACUCAUGUCCAGCCUGAUGAAAAGAGGUGCUGCAGGAGAGCCUUGCGUCCUAUUAGCUUGUUGGUGGGGUAACGGCCCACCAAGGCAAUGAUAGGUAGCCGGCCUGAGAGGGUGGACGGCCACAAGGGGACUGAGAUACGGCCCUUACUCCUACGGGAGGCAGCAGUGGGGAAUAUUGGACAAUGGGGGCAACCCUGAUCCAGCAAUUCUGUGUGCACGAUGAAGGUUUUCGGAUUGUAAAGUGCUUUCAGCAGGGAAGAAAAAAAUGACGGUACCUGCAGAAGAAGCGACGGCUAAAUACGUG
rnacentral:rRNA from 1 species